GAUGAACGCUAGCUAUAGGCUUAACACAUGCAAGUCGAGGGGAAACGGCAUUAUGUGCUUGCACAUUUUGGACGUCGACCGGCGCACGGGUGAGUAUCGCGUAUCCAACCUGCCCUUUACUUGGGGAUACCCCGUUGAAAGACGGCCUAAUACCCGAUGUAAUUCAUUGAUGGCAUCAGAUAUGAAUAAAAGAUUUAUCGGUAAAGGAUGGGGACGCGUCUGAUUAGCUUGUUGGUGAGGUAACGGCUCACCAAGGCAACGAUCAGUAGGGGUUCUGAGAGGAAGGUCCCCCACAUUGGAACUGAGACACGGUCCAAACUCCUACGGGAGGCAGCAGUGAGGAAUAUUGGUCAAUGGGCGGAAGCCUGAACCAGCCAAGUAGCGUGCAGGAAGACGGUCCUAUGGGUUGUAAACUGCUUUUAUACGAGAAUAAUUUGAUGCACGUGUGCGUUAUUGCAUGUAUCGUAUGAAUAAGGACCGGCUAAUUCCGUGCCAGCAGCCGCGGUAAUACGGAAGGUCCAGGCGUUAUCCGGAUUUAUUGGGUUUAAAGGGAGUGUAGGCGGUUUGUUAAGCGUGUUGUGAAAUUUAGAUGCUCAACAUUUAACUUGCAGCGCGAACUGUCAGACUUGAGUACACGCAACGUAUGCGGAAUUCAUGGUGUAGCGGUGAAAUGCUUAGAUAUCAUGAAGAACUCCGAUUGCGAAGGCAGCAUACGGGAGUGUAACUGACGCUUAAGCUCGAAGGUGCGGGUAUCGAACAGG
rnacentral:rRNA from 1 species